rnacentral:rRNA from 1 species
GCCUGUUAUCUCUAUCAAGAUGAUUCUAAUUCGUCAGAUAUUAUUUAUUCUAGUAUCUGGAACACGAAAUAGAUAGAGUGGAUCAAAAAAGGAACUAUGAUUCAUACUCACUAUUAAGACCUCGGAAGGGAACGCGCUUCUGUCCUUCUGUCAUUGGACUGA